rnacentral:rRNA from 1 species
UACGUAGGUGACAAGCGUUGUCCGGAUUUACUGGGCGUAAAGAGCGCGCAGGCGGUCGUUCAAGUCGAGUGUGAAAGCCCCCGGCUCAACUGGGGAGGGUCACUCGAUACUGAUCGACUCGAAGGCAGGAGGGGGAAGUGGAAUUCCCGGGUGUAGUGGUGAAAUGCGUAGAUAUCGGGAGGAACACCAGUGGCGAAGGCGACUUCCUGGCCUGUUCUUGACGCUGAGGCGCGAAAGCUAGGGGAGCAAACGGG